GCUCGGAGGGGGGCAGGCCGCCAUGGAGCCAGCGGCCGCGUACGGGGCCGCCAAAGCCGGGAAGCUUGUCUUCGACCCGGUCGCCUUCUUCACGCAUCCGCGGACCAUCUUGAGGCUGCUGUCGUGGGUGUUCUCCAUGGUGGUGUUCAGCUGCAUCGUCAACGAGGGUUACGUCAACAUCGGCAGCGAGCGUCUGCUGUGCGUCUUCAACAAGAACGCGGACGCCUGCAACUUCGGCGUGACGGUGGGCGUGGCCUGCUUCCUGGCCAGCGCCUUCUUCUUGCUCCUCGACGCCGUCUUUCCGUCCUUCAGCAGCCUGACGGACAGACGGCGCGCCGUACUGCUCGACCUCAUCUGCUCAGGUGUGGCCAGCUUCCUGUGGUUCGUGGGCUUCUGCUUCUUGGUCAAUCAGUGGCAAGCGACAUCAGCGGACGAGCUGCCUUUGUCGCAGGGCGCCGACGCCGCCCGAGCCGCCAUCGCCUUCUGCUUCUUCUCCAUCAUCACCUGGACGGUGCUGACGCUGAGCGCCCUGCGUCGUUUCAAGUCCGGCUCGCACGCCAACCUGUUCACGUGGCAGCACCUGGACGCCGCCCCCGGUCACGCCCGGGCCACGCCCUACCCGAUCGUCAACGGUGCCACCAUCGUGACCACCAAACCCUACCAAGCCCCGCCCUUCACUGAGACCCUGGACCCGCAGAAGCUCACGCAGCAGCAGCACAGACCCGUAGCGCCCGCCUUCUAACGGCCCCGUCACUAAGGCGAUUAUGUUGUUGCCAUGGCAACCCGCUUUAUUUGCUUUUGUGUGUUUGCGCACGCACACUUGCAGCCACACCGUGGUAGUAUCUCACACACGCACAUGUACACGAGGGACGUGCGGUCAGGUGAGGCUCUUCCUCACCUGUCAUUAUGACAGUAAGUAAAAAAAAACCAAAAAACAUAAAUGAAUAUUAAUAUUUGUCCACUGAUCUUUUCAAACAUUUUUGUAGUCAAAAUUGCUGAAAUUGCAUAUUUACUGUUCAAAUACAAAAGUGAAACGCUUUGUUUUGCUGGUAGUACUCUGCCUCACCGAUAGGGGCGUACGUGAGCCAACGCUUGGUAGACGAGACAACUGACGUCACACCCAAAGCACAGCUCUCUUGUUAUUUUACGCAAUGUAGCUAAAAGUCAAGGCGUUUUGGGGGAUUUGAUGACGUCAGUGAUGAUAGACGAGCCCCAGCUGCAGACUUGGGACUCACUGUUGGCAUCAGAGCUUCAUGGGGUGCUGGCCAAAAUGAAAGAAAAGGACUUUUACAAAGUAACCAAACUUCUUGUGGCGAUGGAUAGGUGCAUGGACUUCAUCUACAAAUUAUGCGCCAUGCGUGAGCAGAACGCCAUCAGAUCCUCAAUCAUUGCACGGGCAGCAUGCGUGGCCUCCUGGAGAGCAGCUGGCGCCGCUUCGGCCCGGCGGGGCGCGGCUCCUACGACUGGGUGACCCCGGCGCCCUCUGCACGUGAGCAACAGGGCUUCAACUGGAAUGACUUGGGCGACGACAGAAAAUACGAGCUGCUUGUGUACGUGGUCCUGCCGGCGGUGGCGUUCCUGCUGCUGGUGCCGCUGGCGGUGUCCGUCUGCCGCCGCUGCCGGGCCUCGGCCUCCCAGCUGGGAUUGACCAAGGUGAUCGCGCUGGACCCGCAGGAUGCGGAAUUGCUGUCGUCGUUGAGCCGCGGCGCCGAGCGCCACGCCAGCACCAGCUCCACGGGCUCGGACGGGGUCUUCGUCAUGGUCUACCUGCCGCCGCCCUACGAGGAAACCCUCAGCAAGAUCACCCGGGCCGCCAGCCUCGGCAGCUCCAAGGACGCAGAGUCCAUCAAGAUCGAGGAUCUGGAGGCCAAGCUUUGCCCGGAGAUCAGGUCCAGCGGUCGCUACGUGUGAUAAGGAUCUCAAAUUUCACAUUGCUUCCAGAACUGCUACCUUGACUUACGAGUUUCAUUUGUUUUGUAACCAAAGUUGAAUAUCAAACAACUUGCAGAGUGGACCCCUAGCUAUUUGUGGUAGACAGGGACCGUGUGUGGGCUCAGCUUAUUUGUGUUCUUCUGCCCUUUGCUGCCCAACAGUCAAAAUAAAAAAAUCCAGAUGAUCUAUUUGCGGCACCUGUGAAAUGAAUUAUCGGUGUAGGUGUUUUAUAAUUCACAUUAUUUGUUUCUGAAAUACGUAUACAUCGAAAAUGAAAGACCUCAAAUGUGGAGAUUAUUUUAAUGUACAAUCGUAUGAAAAAUGUAAAAAGAACAUUUCCAUUGUGGGGCCAGAAAUGAAUGAAUCACAAAUACAAAAAAAGGCGUA